GCACCUUUGGUCCAGCGGGCAAGUAAUUACAGAGUCAGAUCAGUCAAGUUCAAUCUCUAACAGCUCUACAGUAGGAUAAUUGCCUUCCAAGCAAUUGGCUCGGGUUCGACUCCCGGAAGGUGCA